CCUACGGGCGGCUGCAGUGGGGAAUAUUGCACAAUGGGGGAAACCCUGAUGCAGCAACGCCGCGUGAGUGAAGAAGUAUUUCGGUAUGUAAAGCUCUAUCAGCAGGGAAGAAAAUGACAGUACCUGACUAAGAAGCCCCGGCUAACUACGUGCCAGCAGCCGCGGUAAUACGUAGGGGGCAAGCGUUAUCCGGAUUUACUGGGUGGAAAGGGAGCGUAGACGGCUGCGCAAGUCAGAAGUGAAAGCCCGGGGCUCAACCGCGGGACUGCUUUUGAAACUGGGUAGCUAGAGUGCAGGAGAGGUAAGUGGAAUUCCUAGUGUAGCGGUGAAAUGCGUAGAUAUUAGGAGGAACACCGGUGGCGAAGGCGGCUUACUGGACUGUAACUGACGUUGAGGCUCGAAAGCGUGGGGAGCAAACAGGAUUAGAUACCCUUGUAGUC
rnacentral:rRNA from 1 species